rnacentral:rRNA from 1 species
CCUACGGGUGGCAGCAGUGGGGAAUAUUGGGCAAUGGGCGCAAGCCUGACCCAGCAACGCCGCGUGAAGGAAGAAGGCGUUCGGGUUGUAAACUUUUUUUGUCAGGGACGAAGCAAGUGACGGUACCUGAUGAAUAAGGCACGGUUAACUAAGUGCAAGCAGCCGCUGUAAUCCGGAGGUGGCAAGCGUUAUCCGGAUGUACUGGGUGUAAAGGGCGUGUAGGCGGGACUGCAAGUCAGGUGGGAAAACCACGGGGUCAACCUGCGGCCGGCAUUUGAAACUGUAUUUCGUGAGUACUGGAGAGGCAUACGGAAUUCCUAGUGUAGCGGUGAAAUGCUUAGAUAUUGAGAAGAACCCCAGUGGCGAAGGCAGUCUACUGGACAGCAACUGACGCUGAGGCGCGAAAGCGUGGGGAUCAAACAGGAUUAGAUACCCUUGUAGUC